GUUAAGCGACUAAGCGUACACGGUGGAUGCCCUGGCAGUCAGAGGCGAUGAAGGACGUGCUAAUCUGCGAUAAGCGUCGGUGAGGUGAUAUGAACCGUUAUAACCGGCGAUUUCCGAAUGGGGAAACCCAGUGUGUUUCGACACACUAUCAUUAACUGAAUCCAUAGGUUAAUGAGGCGAACCGGGGGAACUGAAACAUCUAAGUACCCCGAGGAAAAGAAAUCAACCGAGAUUCCCCCAGUAGCGGCGAGCGAACGGGGAGGAGCCCAGAGCCUGAAUCAGUGUGUGUGUUAGUGGAAGCGUCUGGAAAGGCGCGCGAUACAGGGUGACAGCCCCGUACACAAAAAUGCACAUAUUGUGAGCUCGAUGAGUAGGGCGGGACACGUGGUAUCCUGUCUGAAUAUGGGGGGACCAUCCUCCAAGGCUAAAUACUCCUGACUGACCGAUAGUGAACCAGUACCGUGAGGGAAAGGCGAAAAGAACCCCGGCGAGGGGAGUGAAAAAGAACCUGAAACCGUGUACGUACAAGCAGUGGGAGCCUCUUAAUGGGGUGACUGCGUACCUUUUGUAUAAUGGGUCAGCGACUUAUAUUCUGUAGCAAGGUUAACCGAAUAGGGGAGCCGAAGGGAAACCGAGUCUUAACUGGGCGUUAAGUUGCAGGGUAUAGACCCGAAACCCGGUGAUCUAGCCAUGGGCAGGUUGAAGGUUGGGUAACACUAACUGGAGGACCGAACCGACUAAUGUUGAAAAAUUAGCGGAUGACUUGUGGCUGGGGGUGAAAGGCCAAUCAAACCGGGAGAUAGCUGGUUCUCCCCGAAAGCUAUUUAGGUAGCGCCUCGUGAAUUCAUCUCCGGGGGUAGAGCACUGUUUCGGCAAGGGGGUCAUCCCGACUUACCAACCCGAUGCAAACUGCGAAUACCGGAGAAUGUUAUCACGGGAGACACACGGCGGGUGCUAACGUCCGUCGUGAAGAGGGAAACAACCCAGACCGCCAGCUAAGGUCCCAAAGUCAUGGUUAAGUGGGAAACGAUGUGGGAAGGCCCAGACAGCCAGGAUGUUGGCUUAGAAGCAGCCAUCAUUUAAAGAAAGCGUAAUAGCUCACUGGUCGAGUCGGCCUGCGCGGAAGAUGUAACGGGGCUAAACCAUGCACCGAAGCUGCGGCAGCGACGCUUAUGCGUUGUUGGGUAGGGGAGCGUUCUGUAAGCCUGCGAAGGUGUGCUGUGAGGCAUGCUGGAGGUAUCAGAAGUGCGAAUGCUGACAUAAGUAACGAUAAAGCGGGUGAAAAGCCCGCUCGCCGGAAGACCAAGGGUUCCUGUCCAACGUUAAUCGGGGCAGGGUGAGUCGACCCCUAAGGCGAGGCCGAAAGGCGUAGUCGAUGGGAAACAGGUUAAUAUUCCUGUACUUGGUGUUACUGCGAAGGGGGGACGGAGAAGGCUAUGUUGGCCGGGCGACGGUUGUCCCGGUUUAAGCGUGUAGGCUGGUUUUCCAGGCAAAUCCGGAAAAUCAAGGCUGAGGCGUGAUGACGAGGCACUACGGUGCUGA
rnacentral:rRNA from 1 species